rnacentral:lncRNA from 1 species
GUCUAAUUGUCCUCAUUUGGACCAGAAUCAUUCUAACAUGCAAAGGCACGUUGCCCUGCCUUCCAAAACAGAGGAUGUUGGAAAGAGUUUACCUCUUCUUGAAGAAUCGGGUCAGCUUUAUGCACAGAGCUGGACCAGGGACGCAGGGCUGGGAGCCCUCGUACACGGCGGGGCCCCAGGCCUCUGGGCUUCGUGCUGGGGCUGCUUUUGUUGCUAUCUCUGACCAUCCUCACCACUCACCCCAUCGCCUCUUUCCCAUUUGCUGUGAGCAGAGGAUCCAAAUUGCCAAAUUUUUAUUAGAAUGACAUCAAAUAAAAGAGUAAGGAGGCUAUAAUGGGUUGAAUAAUGUCCCCUAAAAAUUGAUGUCCACCUGGAACCACAGAUGGCAACCUUAUUUGGAAAUCGAGUCUUUGCAGAAAAAAAUUGGUUGAGGAUCUCAGGAUGAAGUCAGCCUGGAUUUAGAAUGAGCCCUAAGUCCAAUGCCCAGUGUCCUUCUAAGAAGAGGAGAAGACACAUGGAGAAGGCCGGGUGAUCAGAGCGGCAGAGAGCAGAGUCAAGCUGUGACAAGCCAAGAGCACCGAGGACUGCCACCGGCCACAAGUAGGAGACAGUCAUGCCACACCUUCUCCCCGAAGCCUUCAGAGGGAGCACGGCCUGCUGACACCUUGACUUUGUACUUCUGGCCCCCAGAACUGAGAGAGGACACAGUUCUGCUGUUUUAGUCCCCAUGGUGUGUGGUCAUUUGUUAUGAUGCUUCCUCUAUUUUCUGUGAGACGCCGCCACAGUGUGGCUUGAUGAGCAGUGCUAGGUCCACGCCCGGGAUCCAGGCCUGUGAACCCCGGACCACUAAAGCGGAGCGUGCAAACUUAAUCACUACACCACCGGGCCAGCCCCUCAUGUGCAUUUUUUAAGUAGCCUGUUACCUGUAAGGAGACCGAAGCUUAGCAGGUGGAGCACCUGCUCAAGGGCGCAUAGCUGGAGGUGGGCUGGAGCGGGGCUGGGUCUGUGUCUCGGGUGCGUCUGUUCCUGCUGCAUUCCUCCCCGCUCUGGCCUGUGAGCUCUGGGAGGGCAGAAAUGGGGCUCCUUCGUCCGGUCCCCCAGGCCUAGCAUGGAGCCUUCACGGAAUAUGUUCUGUAUAAAUGGUGCUCCGGUUGCAUCGAAGGGACUUGAAAUAGGC